UCACGGUUUACACCGGCAGUUUCAUUAGAGUCCCCGGCUUAACCCGCUGGCAACUAAUGAUAAGGGUUGCGCUCGUUAUGGAACUUAAUCCGACACCUCACGGCACGAGCUGACGACAACCAUGCAGCACCUCGUAAAUUGCCCCGAAGGGAAGGCACCUUUCAGCACCGGUCAAUCUACGUUCAAACCCAGGUAAGGUUCCUCGCGUAUCAUCGAAUUAAACCACAUGUUCCUCCGCUUGUGCGGGCCCCCGUCAAUUCCUUUGAGUUUCAUCGUUGCCGACGUACUCCCCAGGUGGAUUACUUAAUGCUUUCGCUUAGACGCGUACGGUAUAUCGCACACAUCGAGUAAUCAUCGUUUACGGCGUGGACUAC
rnacentral:misc_RNA from 1 species